UACAGGGGGGGGCAAGCGUUUGUUCGGAAUUACUGGGCGUAAAGGGCCAGUAGGCGGCUAACUAAGUCCGACGUGAAAUCCCCAGGCUUAACCUGGGAACUGCGUCGGAUACUGGUUGGCUUGAAUUCGGGAGAGGGAUGCAGAAUUCCAGGUGUAGCGGUGAAAUGCGUAGAUAUCUGGAGGAAUACCGGUGGCGGAAGGCGGCGAUCCUGG
rnacentral:rRNA from 1 species